AAUGCAACAGUUUUACCAAUCCAUUACAAUAUAUGUAUUAUAAAUAAUUACCUUUCAGACGAUUCCAAAUGCGUUCUUCACCGCACGAUGUGCACAAGAGAAGCUGCAGCUGAAGAUCAUUUCUCUAUUCUGG